GACGAACGCUGGCGGCGCGCCUAACACAUGCAAGUCGAACGGAGCUGAGAGGAGCUUGCUUUUCUUAGCUUAGUGGCGAACGGGUGAGUAACGCGUGAGUAACCUGCCCUGGAGUGGGGGACAACAGUUGGAAACGACUGCUAAUACCGCAUAAGCCCACGGCCCGGCAUCGGGCUGAGGGAAAAGGAUUUAUUCGCUUCAGGAUGGACUCGCGUCCAAUUAGCUAGUUGGUGAGGUAACGGCCCACCAAGGCGACGAUUGGUAGCCGGACUGAGAGGUUGAACGGCCACAUUGGGACUGAGACACGGCCCAGACUCCUACGGGAGGCAGCAGUGGGGGAUAUUGCACAAUGGGGGAAACCCUGAUGCAGCGACGCCGCGUGGAGGAAGAAGGUUUUCGGAUUGUAAACUCCUGUCGUUAGGGACGAUAAUGACGGUACCUAACAAGAAAGCACCGGCUAACUACGUGCCAGCAGCCGCGGUAAAACGUAGGGUGCAAGCGUUGUCCGGAAUUACUGGGUGUAAAGGGAGCGCAGGGCGGACCGGCAAGUUGGAAGUGAAAACUAUGGGCUCAACCCAUAAAUUGCUUUCAAAACUGCUGGCCUUGAGCAGUGCAGAGGUAGGUGGAAUUCCCGGUGUAGCGGUGGAAUGCGUAGAUAUCGGGAGGAACACCAGUGGCGAAGGCGACCUACUGGGCACCAACUGACGCUGAGGCUCGAAAGCAUGGGUAGCAAACAGGAUUAGAUACCCUGGUAGUCCAUGCCGUAAACGAUGAUUACUAGGUGUUGGAGGAUUGACCCCUUCAGUGCCGCAGUUAACACAAUAAGUAAUCCACCUGGGGAGUACGACCGCAAGGUUGAAACUCAAAGGAAUUGACGGGGGCCCGCACAAGCAGUGGAGUAUGUGGUUUAAUUCGAAGCAACGCGAAGAACCUUACCAGGUCUUGACAUCCGAUGCAUAGUGCAGAGAUGCAUGAAGUCCUUCGGGACAUCGAGACAGGUGGUGCAUGGUUGUCGUCAGCUCGUGUCGUGAGAUGUUGGGUUAAGUCCCGCAACGAGCGCAACCCUUAUUGCCAGUUACUACGUAAGAGGACUCUGGCGAGACUGCCGUUGACAAAACGGAGGAAGGUGGGGAUGACGUCAAAUCAUCAUGCCCUUUAUGACCUGGGCUACACACGUACUACAAUGGCGUUUAACAAAGAGAAGCAAGACCGCGAGGUGGAGCAAAACUCAAAAACAACGUCUCAGUUCAGAUUGCAGGCUGCAACUCGCCUGCAUGAAGUCGGAAUUGCUAGUAAUCGCGGAUCAGCAUGCCGCGGUGAAUACGUUCCCGGGCCU
rnacentral:rRNA from 1 species